GAGGGGAAGCGCCCAAGGUCACACAGCCGGGACGUGGCAGAGCUGGGGUUCCAGCUCCUGUUCCCAUUGCUGGACAGCUGCCACAUCUGGCACCCAAUUUAGGACCCUGUGGGGAGGCCCAAGCCCCGGGGGUGGCGGGGGUUCCUAGAGGGAAGUGGCAAGGCCAGGACCCUGGAACUGAGCCAGGAAACUGAGACUCUGAGAGAUGAAGCUACUUGCCAACGCCACGCAGCUCAGCCACAUCCCACUGAACAUCAUCCUGUUCCCUGGGGUGAGUGCUGUUCUGGAAGUUGGGGGCUCAGAAGCUGUUGGUGCCCAGCUGGGAGGUCGCCCUCGCAGCUGCUAUUCGGAAUCUCUUGCCCAAGGGCUUGGGCAAGAGUGUGGGAAAUAAGUGAGAGGCUCUUGCCAGUAGAGGUGGGGUCUGGUUGUGCCCCCACCCAGCUUCCUUGCUUCUGGCUCAGGGGACAGUGGGAAGGUACUUUCUGUGAGUUCUCCCAGAGGUCCCUGGGGGUUGGGCUCCUGUUGCCCAAUGAGGAGACCUGCUCAUCCACCUUCCUUGUGUCGCUUCCUCACUCCCUCCUAGUGUUUCUAGAAUCACCUCCCAAAUAUCCCGCUUGCACCCAAACCCUUGUCUUGGCUUAGCUUCUGGGAGCCGACCUCAGCCAGCUGCUAUAAUGCUCAGGGCUUGAGAGCUUUGGAAUCAGGUGGACCUGAGUGUGAAUCCCAGCCCUGCCACUUAACCUGAGUGUGAACUUGGGAGCCUGCCCCACCUCUCGGAACCUCAGUUCCUCUGUCUAUGAAAAGGGAACUUACGUGCAGAAAACCAAGUGACUAUGAGGGGGAUGGGGCAGUGUGAGAUGACAGGACCAGAGCACGUUCCUGGCUGCAGAGCCCACAAGUCACGCUGUGAGAGCUUUUGGGGUGGUAUGGGGACAAGGGCGCAGAGGAAGAACCAGUCGCGAGUCCUCAGCCCUGUUUGACUGAUGGGGGACGGGGGUGAGUGGGAAAGAGGUACAGCGUUGUUCCACCUUCCCCACCCAUCACCCCUGAGAUUCCAAAUGCACAUUGGGACCAACCCAGGGAGCUCAGCGGAUGUUCAGGGUAGGGCAAAGAACAGGUGCCAAGUUUGCUCCCUGGGGGGUGAGACUGGGUGGCCGGACGAGCUGCAUCGGUAGGACUUUCACCAGGUAGACAGCAGGCACCUCGUCCCCGCAGAUCACAGCUUCCAGGGCCACCUGUCCACAGAAUCCCUUCCCUGAUCUGUGCUCAAGGCCGGGGUGUGGGGAACUGGGUGUCCUUCUUUUACCCUGGGUGGGGCCUCAUGCUCAAAGGGAGCUCUGUCUACCCCCACCACAAACCUGCGGUUUCCCUGCUAGAGCGAUGCACUCCCAGCCACCUGGCUGCCCAGGCCCCCAACCG
rnacentral:lncRNA from 1 species